CUGUAGGGAUACCAUAGUGGAACUUCCAGAACAUUUGUACGUGGAGAAGCGGAUAAAUCUAUCAAACAUUUCCUGAAGGCAGCUGAAGAAUGCUUGGAGAAGGGUAUCUCUGUCUGCAGGGAUGGUGUAAAUUACAGAAAAUUUGUCAAGAAAAUAAGGCUCAGGAGUUGACCGAGCCACAACAGAAAUUGAAGCUGAAUGCACGUUGUUGUCAGAGCCUUUCUUGACAACCUGAGCUCCUAGACUCAAUUCACUGACAAGAAAAUGCAAGAUGGAGGUUGAAUUCUACAUUAUUUGGUC